ACAACACUAAGCACAGCAUUUCCCUUUAAAUCAACUGCUAUUCUUUCCAGCACCAGUUUCAUUCUCUGGCCAUAACCCUCAUUUGCAGGAUGAAAUGUGUUGCACUGCCUUUAAAAUGGUACAAAAGCUCGGCCUGUGUAGGCCUCGUGCUUUGGGUGGCCGUUUGCUGCCCCUUUUAAACGUUCGCUUAGGGGUCCCCAGUUCAGUCUGAAUGAGCUGAAUCCCACAAACAAGGGACAAAGAAUUGGGGCGACGGAUGGGUAGGGGGCGUUUCCAGGGUAACCCAUCUAAAGCCCGCUAAAGUCACAUGGUCCACAGCUAUUGUCUGCUCGACCUUGCACACUCUGUCUUAUUUUGGGAUAGCCACUGGCACCAUGAGUGCCAGCCUGAGCACUGCGAGUAUUGGCCCCUCUCUAAACGGAACGACCGGGCAGGACGCCGAGACCAGAGCUGCUAUCCAUGAAUUCAGAGUGUUCAACAUGGUUAUCCUGUCCCUGGCCGUGUGUGUCCUCACGAUCACGGCGGUCAUAUGCUGCGUGUCCUACUACAGCCGCAGGAGGUGGUGUAAGCGUACAGGUGCGAAUGAGUGCACUGGGGGCGGGGACUCUGGAGCAGAGCUAGUGGAUAUGAAGGUCACAAAGAAGAGACGGAGCUUCCGGAACCCUCUGGCACUGCUCCGGAGACAGGAGUCGACCAGAGUCAACUCCCGCAUCUACUACAUUUACAGCAACCCUCUACCUGUCGGACACCCAGAGGACGAACCAUCGACACCUGAAACACCCGACACUCUCACUCCUCUCACACUGCGGGACUGUGCCAAGGACCCCGAGAGUGGUAUAGUCCUGGACCCACCCAUAUUCUACAUGCAGCUGUAG
ensembl:lncRNA